CUUUGACCUCAAAUCAGGUAGGACUACCCGCUGAACUUAAGCAUAUCAAUAAGCGGAGGAAAAGAAACCAACAGGGAUUGCCUCAGUAGCGGCGAGUGAAGCGGCAAAAGCUCAAAUUUGAAAUCUGGCGUCUUUGGCGUCCGAGUUGUAAUUUGAAGAAGGUAUCUUUGGGCCCGGCUCUUGUCUAUGUUCCUUGGAACAGGACGUCACAGAGGGUGAGAAUCCCGUGCGAUGAGAUGGCCCGGGUCUAUGUAAAGUUCCUUC
rnacentral:rRNA from 1 species